UUUGUGGCGUUGGUUACAGCGUCGUACUAGCGAUACGGAAUCGUGGGUUCAAAUCCCACCAAA
rnacentral:tRNA from 1 species